GUGGCCAGGAGGUUGGCUUCCUGCUAUCACUGCUUCCACAAGCUGCUGCAGGGCAGCUCUGGGGCAGCGGUUGGAGGAGAGGUCGGAAGCCAGGGAAUACACCAGGAGAGACUGCGGCAGUCUGCAGGGGAAGCCGUGGGGCUCCGUUGAUGAACAGCACUGCUGUGAGGCGCUGAGACUCUCCGUAGGCAAACGAGUGCAGAGUUGAAUUUGGUGAAGUAAGCGCUGCCUGGUGCAAAAAGCCCCAUCUCGGUCAGUCCGUGGUUCUGCCGGGGUUCCUCUUCACACCGGACUCAGGAAGAGAUACCUCUCCCACACCUGCCCGAGCUCUUAAGUAGGAUCUCAAGGAGGAGGCACUCAAAGCUCUGGAGAGAGGAGAGAGGAGCAAAGAGCAAACAGAACCAGAACUGGAAAAGAUGGAAAGAAACCUACAGGUGAGGUGACUGAGGCCCAGAGAAGUGAAGUGAUUUGCCCAAG